rnacentral:rRNA from 1 species
CGGACGGGUGAGUAAUGCUUGGGAAUCUAGCUUAUGGAGGGGGAGUAACUACGGGAAACUGUAGCUAAUACCGCGUAAUAUCGAAAGAUUAAAGUGUGGGACCUUUCGGGCCACAUGCCAUAGGAUGAGCCCAAGUGGGAUUAGGUAGUUGGUGAGGUAAAGGCUCACCAAGCCGACGAUCUCUAGCUGGUCUGAGAGGAUGACCAGCCACACUGGGACUGAGACACGGCCCAG